ACUGCCAUAGAUUGUUGAUAGCGUUAGCGGUGUUGUCUCUAUGUAAUGCAAUCCACUGAUUCCGUGUCUCCUUCCAUGCCAAAGGAGUCCCACAUUGAUAUCGUAGCCUGGCACCAUUGCUGUGGCACCAUUGCCUCAGCAAACACUUCUAUGUUGUCUGUCAUGCAUGAGCAUCUCAUUUUCACCAUGCGCUUAUACAGUUCUUCUGACAUGAAUAUAGAUAUGUAUUUCAUUUUGGUAUGGUGUCCCGGAACACUAGAUAAUUUUAGCUUCUACAGAGCAUCAAAGAUAUAUAUAGAUAUAUAACGAAUUCUAAACAUAUCUAGAAGAGACCGCAUCACCAUUCAACCCCCUAGAGUCAAAAUAGAACAAACUUGUCGGGAGAUUUUAUCCUAAAUCAAAUAACAGUUACAAAGUCCUAUUAAAAUUCCUUUAACUCGGGUCUAAUCCCAAUUGUCAAGAUAUUUGCGAGUCCUACUAUACAACCAAUACGACUAUACCACUUUUAUAUUUGGAUAAAUUACAAAUACAAUCCUAGGUUUGCUUAAAAUAAGAGUUGUCCUUAUAGUUUUAAAAAUUACAUCAUACCCCUUAAAAAUUCUAAUUUCAUAACAAAUUUUAUUAAUAAAUCAUCAAGUCAAUCGACAGUUUUUAAAAGAGAGAAUUGUUGAAAAGUCCAAUUUAAAUAGGACAUAAGACAUUAGGUUUAGUAGAUAUUUUUUUUGUUUGUGAGAAGUCCACCAUUUGUGAAAUAGUUUGAGAAGAAGUCUUUUUAUUAGUUUUGGAGGACAUUUUAUUUCUAAUUUUAUCUCUUAAUUUAUCUGUUGACUUUUUUUUGACUAUCUAUUCAAAUUUAUAUCUAUCUAUUCAAAUUUUUUGACUAUCUGUUCAAUUUUUUUAUCUGUACAAAUGUUCUAGCCAAAUUUUAUCUGUACAAAAUUUUCAUAUUUUGAUACAACAAUGUGCUUAUUUUUUAGACAAAUAGAGAGAUCUGUGCUUUUCAUAAUACUUUGAAUAGGAAUUCUAGAUAUGUAAUCCUUUUUUUAUAAAUAAAUAUACUCGAACAAUAUCUCAAGUUCACAAAAGUGACAAACCAGAGAAAUUGAUGCAUGAACAUGACCAACCCACCCUUCUUAAACAUGACAGUAAACAAAUGGAACGGUGCAUCUAUGAACUAUCAUCAUCAACCUAAAACCACUAUCAUCCUUCUCUAAGAAAAUCAAGAACCGAAUCAAUAUAUAUAGAUAUUGAUUCAGAGCGAGAUUUAAAUAGAUAUUAAUGAACAAACAGAUCAAAAACCAAGAUCUGAUUCAACUAUCAAACACAAAACACAACAUAUAUAUAUAGAGAGA